AACGUAGGUCACAAGCGUUGUCCGGAAUUACUGGGUGUAAAGGGAGCGCAGGCGGGAAGACAAGUUGGAAGUGAAAUCCAUGGGCUCAACCCAUGAACUGCUUUCAAAACUGUUUUUCUUGAGUAGUGCAGAGGUAGGCGGAAUUCCCGGUGUAGCGGUGGAAUGCGUAGAUAUCGGGAGGAACACCAGUGGCGAAGGCGGCCUGCUGGGCACCAACUGACGCUGAGGCUCGAAAGUGUGGGUAGCAAACAGG
rnacentral:rRNA from 1 species